rnacentral:lncRNA from 1 species
CCCGGCGUCCCCRCCGCCUGCGGCACACCGGCGUGCCCACCUCAACGGCCCCGGCGCCGCGAGAUCRCAUCUCGGCCUGAAACCGUGGAGGAUACAGGAGGAGCGAUGAAGUCAACCGGCCUGCUGAAUUUACUUACUARUAUUACUCGUUCACCUCUUUGUCAGGUACUUUCCUCAGAGGAAAUCGUUCAGCUUCCUGUGUUUUUACUGUAAAUUAUAUGCUGCGAAGAGGAAAGAGAGAAAGAGAGCAAGACCGACAGACAGAUUAGGGAAAGAAAAGCACCYGGGGACGGUUUCGGUGCAGACGAUUCCUUUCACCGGCACCUCCGCGGCUCCGCUUGCCUAAGGCAUCACCCUUCUUUCCGGUCGUUCAAGGAGGGGUUAAAAACAACAGCUAACCUGCAACUCUGUCCACUGCUUAAACUGAAACUACUUUCAAGACUGAAAGUGCUGGUUUCCUCCCCGCCCCUCCCCUGCCGCUUUACUUUUACUUUACUUGCUGCCUUGUCCUGCUGCUUCUGCACCUGGCAAUGAGCGAGCAGGAAUGAUGUGAAAAAGACUGUUUCUUGCCCAAAUGGAAGAGAAACGCCUGGCUGUGUCACUAGAGAGCAGAGCUAGUCAAGUUGAGUCUUGCAGCUUCAUAACCAUCUGCCUCAUCGGUACGUUGAAAUCCCUCGGUGCCGUGCAUGCUAUACAGCUACAAAUAACCUCAAAGCCCGUUUGCCGAGACCAAAGGGAGACCAGAAGACUAGUCGACGGUGACCUCCGGGUGCUUUCACGCUGCGCUGUGUGUACUAACCUCCCAAAGACCUCCCAGGCACCACACGGUUCUAGAGCCUCAGCAUUUCAUGGAAGCCGGCUCUUCGCUCAGUGA